CCUCAUAUUUUUUGAAAAGUUUUUACUAUUUGUUAGAACUUUUGAACUAACUUAUCCCUGUCUCUUCUAUACAAAUUUCUAACACAAAUCAAUAAGAAACACCACCUUUUGAUUUUACAAAUACAAAGAGAAAGAAACCUAAUUCCACUUUACAAAUUACUUAUUUUCAACAUCUAUACACCUUUCAUCCCCUUUUGACAUAAUAAAAAAAAUGAGUGAAAAAAAAUACACAUAGACAAUAACCAUUCACACAAAAUAAAAAAUUGACCACAUAACAAAAAACACAAGU
rnacentral:lncRNA from 1 species